rnacentral:lncRNA from 1 species
GCGAGAGGGCUGGCAGCGACGGGACAAACCCCAGACGGCUGCGCGGAUGCGUUUGUUCCUGGAGCUUGCGAGCACUUGCAAUGCAUGGACACCUCCACAGGGUGGUGGCCUGCCACCACGAGAGCACCAGCUCCGCCAGCGUCCUCUCCAGAGGACACUUUAGAGCAGAAAGAAACGGACAGUUCAGUCUUCCCCUCAGCUUGAAGGCAGCAUUCUUUUGCUUCUCUUUGAGUCAGGUAAUUGUUUUGUCUUCCUUCCACUCAGUCAGCAGGUAUUAAACAGCAACCGCAUUGCCAAGCACUGUGGUGGGGGCUGUGGCUUAUGCUUUCCGGAGCAGAACAUAGUUGUUGCUACCUUGGGGAUGGGGGCGGGAGGAAUAGAAAAAAUGCGGAGUUAGCGGAGUAUCAGGGAACAAGGGUGGAACAGAUAUAAUAAUUGCAGUACAGUUAGUUAGGGCCUAUUGAAGGAGCACAAACGAAGCGUAAACUUGUCUGGGAACUAGUGGAAGGUGUCCCCCAGGGGAUGUUAAAGAGCUAAUUCUAGAAUUAAUUCAGUGGGGAAAGAAAAGGAGAGGGAGAUGCCAGGCAGAGGGAGCAGCAUGCCUGAUUGUCUGGAGGUGAUCAGAGGGCCUGGCUGAUUGAAGAUGAACAGGAAUUGUGUAGUCUGUGUUCAUUCAUUCAUUUAUUCAUUCCACAACUAUGGAUUUAAAAACGGUUAGUCAACCAAUGUGGAAAAAUAGCAUCUCGAUAAAAUGUUCUUCAAAUGUCCACCUAGUAUUUUGAUACUCAGUUUUCAUGACUGGACCCACCAUCAAAGGCCUCUGACUCUGAUAUUUCUAUCCUUUGGACCCUAUGGGAGAUCUUUGCCUCCAUGUG